rnacentral:rRNA from 1 species
GCAACAUCUAAAGGUUCUAGGCUUGAGAGAGAAGGCAUGCUGGCAAAGCUGAAAUUUAAAGGUGAAGGAGG